rnacentral:rRNA from 1 species
UUGAUGGCGACGGCGUACGGGUGGCGUAACACGUACGUAACCUACCUUUUGCUAGAAAAUAGCCUGAGGAAACUUAGGAUUAAUGUUCUAUAGUAUACAGAAUCGCAUGAUUCUGUUAUUAAAGUAGCAAUACGGCAAAAGAUGGGCGUGCGUCCGAUUAGUUAGUUGGUAAGGUAAAGGCUUACCAAGACAGUGAUCGGUAGGGGGCCUGAGAGGGUGAUCCCCCACACUGGUACUGAGACACGGACCAGACUCCUACGGGAGGCAGCAGUGAGGAAUAUUGGUCAAUGGAGGAAACUCUGAACCAGCCACGCCGCGUGCAGGAAGAAUGCCUUACGGGUUGUAAACUGCUUUUGUUUAGGAAUAAAAAUUCUUACGUGAUAAGGAUUGUGAAUGUACUAUACGAAUAAGUGUCGGCAAACUCCGUGCCAGCAGCCGCGGUAAUACGGAGGACACGAGCGUUAUCCGGAUUUAUUGGGUUUAAAGGGUGCGUAGGCGGUUUAUUAAGUCAGUAGUGAAAUAUUGCAGCUUAACUGUUAAAAUGGCUAUUGAUACUGAUAGACUUGAGUGAGAUUGGAGUAGCUGGAAUGUGUGGUGUAGCGGUGAAAUGCAUAGAUAUCACACAGAACACCGAUCGCGAAAGCAGGUUACUAAGUCUAUACUGACGCUGAGGCACGAAAGCGUGGGGAGCAAACAGGAUUAGAUACCCUGGUAGUCCACGCCGUAAACGAUGAUCACUAGUUGUUGGAUUUAUUUCAGUGACUAAGCGAAAGUGAUAAGUGAUCCACCUGGGGAGUACGGU